CAGCAGCCACGGUAAUACGAGGGGUGCAAGCGUUAUUCGGAUUGAUUGGGUGUAAAGGGUGUGCAGACGGCUUAUUAAGUCACUUGUUAAAUUCUUCGGCCUAACUGAAGGUCUGCAAGUGAUACUGAUGAGCUAGAGGGUGGAAGAGAGAAGUGGAAUUCUCGGAGUAGCGGUAAAAUGCGUAGAUCUCGAGAGGAACACCAAUGGCGAAGGCAGCUUCUUGGUCCAUUCCUGACGUUCAUACACGAAAGCGUGGGGAGCAAACAGGAUUAGAUACCCCCGUAGUCCCUGUCUCUUAUAA
rnacentral:rRNA from 1 species